AAAAUCAAGAGUAGCGAACGGGUGAGUAACGCGUGGGUAACCUACCUAUCAGCGGGGGAUAACUAUUGGAAACGAUAGCUAAUACCGCAUAACAAUUGAGAUUGCAUAAUCUUAAUUUGAAAGUACCAAUUGGUACACUGAGAGAUGGACCCGCGUUGUAUUAGCUAGUUGGUAGUGUAAUGGACUACCAAGGCGAUGAUACAUAGCCGACCUGAGAGGGUGAUCGGCCACAUUG
rnacentral:rRNA from 1 species